AGUGCAUGUGGUGGAUGCCUUGGCAGUCAGAGGCGAUGAAAGACGUGAUAGCCUGCGAAAAGCUCCGGGGAGGCGGCAAAUAUCCUUUGAUCCGGAGAUGUCUGAAUGGGGGAACCCACCUACUUUAAGGUAGGUAUUGCAACAUGAAUACAUAGUGUUGCAAGGCGAACGAGGGGAAGUGAAACAUCUCAGUACCCUUAGGAAAAGAAAUCAAUUGAGAUUCCCUCAGUAGCGGCGAGCGAACGGGGAUCAGCCCAUUAAGUUAUGUGUGUUUUAGUGGAACGCUCUGGGAAGUGCGAACGUAGAGGGUGAUAUUCCCGUACACGAAAGGGCACACAUAAUGAUGACGAGUAGGGCGAGGCACGUGAAACCUUGUCUGAAUAUGGGGGGACCAUCCUCCAAGGCUAAAUACUCCUGACUGACCGAUAGUGAACCAGUACCGUGAGGGAAAGGCGAAAAGAACCCCUGUGAGGGGAGUGAAAUAGAUCCUGAAACCGCAUGCAUACAAGCAGUGGGAGCACCUUCGUGGUGUGACUGCGUACCUUUUGUAUAAUGGGUCAGCGACUUAUAUUCAGUAGCGAGGUUAACCGUAUAGGGGAGCCGUAGAGAAAUCGAGUCUUAAUAGGGCGUUUAGUUGCUGGGUAUAGACCCGAAACCAGGCGAUCUAUCCAUGAGCAGGUUGAAGGUUGGGUAACACUAACUGGAGGACCGAACCCACUGUCGUUGAAAAGCCAGGGGAUGACUUGUGGAUAGGGGUGAAAGGCUAAUCAAGCCUGGUGAUAGCUGGUUCUCCCCGAAAGCUAUUUAGGUAGCGCCUCGGACGAAUACCAUAGGGGGUAGAGCACUGUUUCGGCUAGGGGGUCAUCCCGGCUUACCAAACCGAUGCAAACUCCGAAUACCUAUGAGUACUAUCCGGGAGACAGACUGCGGGUGCUAACGUCCGUAGUCAAGAGGAAAACAAUCCAGACCGCCAGCUAAGGCCCCAAAAUCAUAGUUAAGUGGGAAACGAUGUGGGAAGGCAUAGACAGCUAGGAGGUUGGCUUAGAAGCAGCCACCCUUUAAAGAAAGCGUAAUAGCUCACUAGUCGAGUCGGCCUGCGCGGAAGAUGUAACGGGGCUAAAACUAUGUGCCGAAGCUGCGGAUGUAUACUUUGUAUACGUGGUAGGGGAGCGUUCUGUAAGCCGAUGAAGGUGUGUUGAGAAGCAUGCUGGAGGUAUCAGAAGUGCGAAUGCUGACGUGAGUAACGACAAAACGGGUGAAAAACCCGUUCGCCGAAAGACCAAGGGUUCCAGUCCAACGUUAAUCGGGGCUGGGUGAGUCGACCCCUAAGGCGAGGCCGAAAGGCGUAGUCGAUGGGAAAAUGGUUAAUAUUCCAUUACUUCUGUGUAAUGCGAUGAGAGGACGGAGAAGGCUAAAUCAGCCUGGCGUUGGUUGUCCAGGUGAAAGGAUGUAGGCAUGUAUCUUAGGCAAAUCCGGGGUACUCUAUGCUGAGAUCUGAUAGCAAGCUGUACUUGUACAGCGAAGUGGUUGAUGCCAUGCUUCCAGGAAAAGUCUCUAAGCUUCAGUUACACAGGAAUCGUACCCGAAACCGACACAGGUGGUCAGGUCGAGUAGACCAAGGCGCUUGAGAGAACUCUGCUGAAGGAACUAGGCAAAAUGGUACCGUAACUUCGGGAGAAGGUACGCUGUUGUUGGUGAUGGAACUCGCUUCCUGAGCUGACGACAGCCGCAGAAACCAGGCCGCUGCAACUGUUUAUUAAAAACAUAGCACUCUGCAAACACGAAAGUGGACGUAUAGGGUGUGAUGCCUGCCCGGUGCUGGAAGGUUAAUUGAUGGGGUUAGCGUAAGCGAAGCUCUUGAUCGAAGCCCCAGUAAACGGCGGCCGUAACUAUAACGGUCCUAAGGUAGCGAAAUUCCUUGUCGGGUAAGUUCCGACCUGCACGAAUGGCAUAAUGAUGGCGGCGCUGUCUCCAGCAGAGGCUCAGUGAAAUCGAAAUCGCUGUGAAGAUGCAGUGUACCCGCGGCUAGACGGAAAGACCCCGUGAACCUUUACUGCAGCUUGACACUGAACUUUGACCUUACUUGUGUAGGAUAGGUGGGAGGCUUUGAAGCUGGAACGCUAGUUCCAGUGGAGCCGUCCUUGAAAUACCACCCUGGUAAUGUUGAGGUUCUAACUCUGUCCCGUGAUCCGGGACGAGGACCGUGUCUGGUGGGUAGUUUGACUGGGGCGGUCUCCUCCUAAAGAGUAACGGAGGAGUACGAAGGUGCGCUCAGCGUGGUCGGAAAUCACGCGUAGAGUAUAAAGGCAAAAGCGCGCUUAACUGCGAGACCCACAAGUCGAGCAGGUACGAAAGUAGGUCUUAGUGAUCCGGUGGUUCUGUAUGGAAGGGCCAUCGCUCAACGGAUAAAAGGUACUCUGGGGAUAACAGGCUGAUACCGCCCAAGAGUUCAUAUCGACGGCGGUGUUUGGCACCUCGAUGUCGGCUCAUCUCAUCCUGGGGCUGAAGCAGGUCCCAAGGGUAUGGCUGUUCGCCAUUUAAAGAGGUACGCGAGCUGGGUUUAGAACGUCGUGAGACAGUUCGGUCCCUAUCUACCGUGGGCGCUGGAAAUUUGAGAGGAUCUGCUCCUAGUACGAGAGGACCAGAGUGGACGAACCUCUGGUGUACCGGUUGUGACGCCAGUCGCAUCGCCGGGUAGCUAUGUUCGGAAGGGAUAACCGCUGAAAGCAUCUAAGCGGGAAGCCUACCUCAAGAUAAGAUUUCCCUAGGACUUUAUGUCCUCUAAAGAGCCGUUCGAGACUAGGACGUUGAUAGGUUGGAUGUGGAAGCAUAGUGAUAUGUGAAGCUGACCAAUACUAAUUGCUCGUGAGGCUUGACU
rnacentral:rRNA from 1 species